rnacentral:rRNA from 1 species
UACGAAGGGGGCUAGCGUUGUUCGGAAUUACUGGGCGUAAAGCGCACGUAGGCGGGUCGUUAAGUCAGGGGUGAAAUCCCAGAGCUCAACUCUGGAACUGCCUUUGAUACUGGCGACCUAGAGUCCGGAAGAGGUUAGUGGAAUUCCCAGUGUAGAGGUGAAAUUCGUAGAUAUUGGGAAGAACACCGGUGGCGAAGGCGGCGACCUGGUCCGAUACUGACGCUGAGGCGCGAAAGCUGGGGGAGCAAACGGG